rnacentral:misc_RNA from 1 species
GAUUUGAAGGGGGUUUUGAUGGAAAUUUGUGAUGAAAAAAAGAAAGACGAAGAACAUGGGAAGAUGGAGUUUGAUCCUGCGGCUGAUGGAAAUUUGAGCGAUCAUAUUGAGGUUCAGGAUUUUGUUGAGAAGCAAAGUUUGGACGGUAGUGUUUGGGAUGUUAAGGGGAUUCAUGACAAUAGGCUAAUGAAGUUAAGUGAGGAUGAGGACGAUUGCAUUAUUAGGAAGAGGAAGUAUAGUGAUG